UACCUACGGGAGGCAGCAGUGAGGAAUAUUGGUCAAUGGGCGUAAGCCUGAACCAGCCAAGUCGCGUGAGGGAUGAAGGAUCUAUGGUUCGUAAACCUCUUUUAUAAGGGAAUAAAGUGCGGGACGUGUCCUGUUUUGUAUGUACCUUAUGAAUAAGGAUCGGCUAACUCCGUGCCAGCAGCCGCGGUAAUACGGAGGAUCCGAGCGUUAUCCGGAUUUAUUGGGUUUAAAGGGUGCGUAGGCGGUUUGUCAAGUCAGCGGUAAAAAUUCCGGGCUCAACCCGGUCCCGCCGUUGAAACUGGCGA
rnacentral:rRNA from 1 species